GUGAAAAUUGACUGAUUCUACAAGCAGACGUUGUUUUGGUUUUGUCUUGUCGUACGGAAACAAGUGACGUUUGAAUUGAUACUCUCUUUUUUCGCAAUGAGAGACAAAAAUGCUUCGUCUCUCUUCGAAUGAGACGGUAAAAGAACGGAUAUGAGGCUGUAGGAUGGGAUUCUUUCAUUGAGAAUGCGUGACAAUUUCAAGUUCUGGGAAUCUAUCAGACCAGCGUUUUGUUCCCAGUUUUCGGUGUUCGCCGCUUUCCAGCAUCCCUGUCCAGUUAGUCUAGCAGAAGAUAACUGAGAUUUAAGAGACGGGAGUUUCCCAGCGUCUUCCUUUCCGUCUAGGAACGCUCGUAAGCUACUUUCGCACAAUUGAAUACACAAUUUUACUAUUUUUUCACAACUGUCGGGAGCCUUCGACCAUUGACUGUUGGAUAAGGUACAGAUCGAGAGCACUUUUGAUCAUCCCAAGACUGAUCAUAAGAUCUCCCAGUUUGGAUUUGAUAGUCCAUCGAGGAAUUAGCGUAGCAGAGAAAACGUAAGACAAUCGAUGAGACAUCGGUACUGC